UACAGAGGUCCCGAGCGUUGUUCGGAUUCAUUGGGCGUAAAGGGUGCGUAGGCGGCGGGGCAAGUCUGAUGUGAAAUCCUGGGGCUCAACCCUGGAACUGCAUUGGAUACUGCCUUGCUAGAGAACUGGAGAGGAGACUGGAAUUUACGGUGUAGCAGUGAAAUGCGUAGAGAUCGUAAGGAAGACCAGUGGCGAAGGCGAAUCUCUGGACAGUUACUGACACUGAGGCACGAAGGCCAGGGGAGCAAACGGG
rnacentral:rRNA from 1 species